UGGCGGCGACUCCUCCUGUAUACCAUGUGUUCUUCCACCGUGGCUUGGACAGAGCCGGAUUCCUUCUGCAGGCAAGAAGGACGUUGAGAAAAACAAGACUUUGGCAGACGUUCUGGUUCGUUCAGACGGUCACUACAAGAGAUGAAGGUUUUCUUAAAACUAACAGAUGC